UAGACCACGUGCCGGAGACUCGAACGAUGGCAGAAAAGCUCGAGCUUUUGUUGGCGACAGAACGAAAUAUGUUUGCAACUUCUGGAAUUCGAUAUUCGAUGAUUUAAUGAUCUGAAUUCAACGUUCAUAUGUUGCGUCCUUGAAUGACCUUCACUUAUAGGUCGUUGCAUUCGUCUCGAAAGACUUUAUCGGAAUGCGAAUAAAAAGUUAGGUCAUCCUAUUUAAAAAAACAAGCUUGACCUUCGUAUGUCCUCUAUGCCUUCGCCUAUAAAAAGAA